rnacentral:rRNA from 1 species
UGAACGCUGGCGGCGUGCCUAAUACAUGCAAGUCGAGCGAACAGACGAGGAGCUUGCUCCUCUGACGUUAGCGGCGGACGGGUGAGUAACACGUGGAUAACCUACCUAUAAGACUGGGAUAACUUCGGGAAACCGGAGCUAAUACCGGAUAAUAUAUUGAACCGCAUGGUUCAAUGGUGAAAGACGGUUUUGCUGUCACUUAUAGAUGGAUCCGCGCCGCAUUAGCUAGUUGGUAAGGUAACGGCUUACCAAGGCGACGAUGCGUAGCCGACCUGAGAGGGUGAUCGGCCACACUGGAACUGAGACACGGUCCAGACUCCUACGGGAGGCAGCAGUAGGGAAUCUUCCGCAAUGGGCGAAAGCUUGACGGAGCAACGCCGCGUGAGUGAUGAAGGUCUUCGGAUCGUAAAACUCUGUUAUUAGGGAAGAACAAAUGUGUAAGUAACUAUGCACGUCUUGACGGUACCUAAUCAGAAAGCCACGGCUAACUACGUG